AAAUAAGAAACAAUUAUUUGUAUUUAGUUUCGACCUAACCUUUGGUGACUGCCACCCUUAUUUA
rnacentral:tRNA from 1 species